rnacentral:rRNA from 1 species
UACGUAGGGUGCAAGCGUUGUCCGGAAUUAUUGGGCGUAAAGAGCUCGUAGGCGGUCUGUCGCGUCGGGUGUGAAAGCUCACGGCUUAACCGUGGGUCUGCAUCCGAUACGGGCGGGCUAGAGGCAGGUAGGGGAGAACGGAAUUCCCGGUGUAGCGGUGAAAUGCGCAGAUAUCGGGAGGAACACCGGUGGCGAAGGCGGUUCUCUGGGCCUGUACUGACGCUGAGGAGCGAAAGCGUGGGGAGCGAACAGG